rnacentral:rRNA from 1 species
GGGGAAUAUUGCACAAUGGGCGCAAGCCUGAUGCAGCGACGCCGCGUGGGGGAUGACGGCCUUCGGGUUGUAAACCCCUUUCGCCAGGGACGAAGCGAGAGUGACGGUACCUGGAGAAGAAGCACCGGCCAACUACGUGCCAGCAGCCGCGGUAAUACGUAGGGUGCAAGCGUUGUCCGGAAUUAUUGGGCGUAAAGAGCUCGUAGGCGGUGUGUCACGUCUGCCGUGAAAACCUGCGGCUUAACCGUGGGCGUGCGGUGGAUACGGGCAUCACUUGAGUUCGGUAGGGGAGACUGGAAUUCCUGGUGUAGCGGUGGAAUGCGCAGAUAUCAGGAGGAACACCGGUGGCGAAGGCGGGUCUCUGGGCCGAUACUGACGCUGAGGAGCGAAAGCGUGGGGAGCAAAC